UCAGGAGGGGUAACCCUUCUGGGGGGAGAGCGGCGAACGGGUGAGUAACACGUGGGCAACCUGCCCCGGACACCGGGAUAACCCAGGGAAACCUGAGCUAAUACCGGAUACUCCGGCGUGAUCGCAUGGUCGCGCUGGGAAAGCUCCGACGGUCCGGGAUGGGCCCGCGGCCUAUCAGCUUGUUGGUGGGGUAACGGCCCACCAAGGCGACGACGGGUAGCUGGUCUGAGAGGACGGCCAGCCACACUGGGACUGAGACACGGCCCAGACUCCUACGGGAGGCAGCAGUGGGGGAUCUUGCGCUAAUGCGCGAAAGUCUGACGGAGCAACGCCGCGUGUAUGAUGAAGGUCUUCGGA
rnacentral:rRNA from 1 species